UCUCCUAGAGACAACCAGCAAGGCAGAAAGUUGGGGGAGGAGGCAGUAGUAAAUUCACGCCAGGUUGAAGUGGCACCUCUUUUUCUUUGCAUAAGGUGAUAAGAGGAAACACAACUGCUGAGCAAGUAAGCAAGGGAAACUACACAUCCA